rnacentral:lncRNA from 7 species
CACUUUGGGAGGGCCCUCUGCAAACAUCCACAUACUAGAAGCUUGUCAUGGUUUUGUCCCUUCGUCAUGGAACCAGGCCAAGACAGGCUGGACUGUGACAUAGCUGAGCUACGCAAGGCGCGCAUCGUGUGAAAAGUUGAGCAACUCGUGAAAGCUGCUGCUGAUGGAACACCGAGCUGGUAUGAUCAAGAUAAUCACAGAUAUGCUUCAAGAUAUGCUUGGAAUGAGAAACACUUCUAAGAUUCAAGACAAAGUUUCAAGUUCAAUGCUGUUUUUGAAGAGGACCAAUGCUUAAGCUUUUUGUUUACUACAGGCCUCUCUCACUUCAACUCUGAAAUAAAUGAAUACUGACAGCAAGCUUGAAAAGGAGCUGGACGUAAAAAAAAAAAAAAAUUCAAAAUGGAGGGUUUUAAUCUGUCUCUGAAGUUGAGUCAAACUCAUCUCGAUAACCAGCCAAAACCUACAGGAUUUCAGCAUAAUGCAAGCCUCAAUGCUACCAGAUAACCACCUUGGAAGCCUGCGGUAUAAACAGACAUUCAUUCUGUAUUCCGAGAAUAUGCCGGGUGGUAUUUUAAAGUCAUAUAGCUGUUUUGAACAUACUAAAGGUAAAACUGCAAGCUCAAAAUUAAAACAUUGAGUUAUGUGCUAUGAAUGGACAAUGGGUCUAUUAUUUAUCUACGUUUCUAAAGAUUACCACACCCUUGGCUAUUCAGAACUCGAUGAAGUUAUUAUGAGUGCCUACCGUUGUUUGCAAAAUGUAGAAGAAAAUGGAAAAUGGCUCUCCAGGGUACAAGGUAUUUUUGAGGAUGGAUUUGAAAACAUACACCAAAAGUUAAUGAGGAAUAAAUUGUAACUUCUUUAGUUUAAUUGCCAGUGCAUCUCGUUUACCUGAGCUACUAAAAUUUAAAAAAUAUAAAUAAAAAUCAAUAAAAAGACAAAUUUGACAAAGCAUUUUGAAACU